GCUGCGAUGACCGAGUGGUUAAGGCGUUGGACUCAAAAUCCAAUUGGAUAUUUUCAUGCAGGUUCGAAUCCUGUUCGCAGUU
rfam:Ciona savignyi cont_8848, whole genome shotgun sequence.